CCUACGGGGGGCAGCAGUGGGGAAUAUUGGACAAUGGGCGAAAGCCUGAUCCAGCCAUGCCGCGUGUGUGAAGAAGGCCUUCGGGUUGUAAAGCACUUUCAGUGGGGAAGAAAGCCUUGGGGCUAAUACCCUCGAGGAAGGACAUCACCCACAGAAGAAGCACCGGCUAACUCCGUGCCAGCAGCCGCGGUAAUACGGAGGGUGCGAGCGUUAAUCGGAAUUACUGGGCGUAAAGCGCGCGUAGGCGGUCUGAUAAGCCGGUUGUGAAAGCCCCGGGCUCAACCUGGGAACGGCAUCCGGAACUGUCAGGCUAGAGUGCAGGAGAGGAAGGUAGAAUUCCCGGUGUAGCGGUGAAAUGCAUAGAGAUCGGGAGGAAUACCAGUGGCGAAGGCGGCCUUCUGGACUGACACUGACGCUGAGGUGCGAAAGCGUGGGUAGCAAACAGGAUUAGAUACCCCUGUAGUC
rnacentral:rRNA from 1 species